GUGAUAAUGACUUCCACACGCUAGAGGAGGAGGCAUGAAUAUUUGGUGAAGCUGAUAUCCUUCCUAUGGAAGAGGAGUCUGGGACCGGCGUCGAGGCAACUUGGCCGUGUGAACUCCAAAGAAAGGAAAGAAGGAAAUAGAGUGCCUGUUAUUUCAUGGAGCAGAAAAAGCUACACCUUGGAGUGCCGUCAGCCUGAUGGAUGGCUGGGUCAGCCUGCCCCGCAGUUGGCGCGCACCAUCUUCCUUCUUCUGCUAAUGUCUCUAAUCUGC